CACGACUGAAUCCUUUUCUCUACAAAAACAAAACCCUGAACAUAGAAAACUAGCAUGUCAGGAACAUGGCUAUGCCAGAGCCUUUCUCCCUGAGGAGGAAAAAGGAGAAGGUACUACUGCUCCAACUCAGCACAGCAGCUGCUGCCAGAGCAAAAUGGCAAAUGUCUUCCUUACAAGGAUAGCCACAACAGCUGAGGAUCUGUGCAGAGAGAUAGAUGUGGUGAGGGUGCCGUAGAGGAUUUUCAUUCCGAAGAGAGUGCAAGACAACCUGCCUUAUGCAGUGAAGGAAGAGUAAGACUGACAGCUGAUCCAGCAUUCCAGUUCAUCUGUAAUGGCAGUUGUGUGUGAAACAGUGACCUGGCAGCCUCCACAGAGAGUGAGAGCCUACAUGAGUCAGGAGUCAAUACCAGGGCCCCCAAACCAGGAAUACUUUGAGUCCCAAAUCCCCAAGCUGUUUUAAUGGCUGCUGUUUUGCAUAAUGUCCACUUCUCUGUACUUCCCACUGGGGCCAAGUUCCUAUCCAUGCACCAGUUCCCAUGGCCCUGGAUUGUCCUCAUGGCUCCCAAACCAAUUGUCCCUUCCCCAUGGUUUUUGCUCAUCCUUGUGACUUGGUCAUGUGGUGGAUGGCUGCCUGGGUCCUUUUCAUGGACGGAUGCCUGCUUCCUUUGCCCCCUGUUCUAAUGUGGGAUCCUAACAUCCUAUUCUAUUCCUGAGCUAUUUAUUUAAAAUAUUAUCAUGCCACUUCUUCCAUAGCUCAAGGAGGCUUCUGAUAUUUUCAAAAACAAACUUCUACAAAUAAUUAACAUCACAUCAUGCAAAAUAGCAGCCAUAAAAACAAUUUAAUUCUUACUGCAUGAUUAAAAGUGUCUAUACUAAUAAGCAGUGAUAGAAAUUAAAAGGAAAAUGGAUUCAGAUCAAUGAACGCUUGCUUUAAAAGAAGCGUUUUUUUAAAAAGUCUACAUCUCAACAUGAAAGCCUCAGGAACUGCAGAAUGGCAGUUCCUGCCUUCCUACUCCAUUUAGAAGGAAGAUGGGCUUCAGUACUGUGCAUCUUCUUUCCCGAGCAUCUUCAAGGGUAGUUCCACAAGGAUAUUGGUUCUUGAGGAUGGGGGGUUGAGAUCCAGAAAAGAGCUUGUAGGUCUAAUUUACUGUACAGCUGUUCCACCAACACUCCAUCUUUUUUUCAAACCAUUCCAUUAUCCAAAAUUAAGAAUUGGCAUGAUAAUAUAACAUUGCAUUUCCAAACCUU